CAAGACGAGGUUUUGAAUGGAGAA
rnacentral:piRNA from 1 species